AAGUCGUAACAAGGUUUCCGUAGGUGAACCUGCGGAAGGAUCAUUAACGAGUUCAGAAAAGGGUUGUAGCUGGCCUCAAAUCCGGGGCAUGUGCACACCCUGCUCAUCCACUCUCACACCUGUGCACUUUCUGUAGGUCGGUUCGGGAUCUGGUCCCUUGCGGGGUCGGUUCUGUGCCUUCCUAUGUACAAUCACAAACGCUUCAGUAUUCAGAAUGUCAUUGCGAUAAUUAAAACGCAUCUUAUACAACUUUCAGCAACGGAUCUCUUGGCUCUC
rnacentral:misc_RNA from 1 species